UGUUUGUUUUUGGUGUUUUUCUACAGUUAGCCUCAUAGUGAAAAAUCAGAAAAAAAUCUAUUCCUGUGUGAGUCCCCAAGCCAGGUGUAACUUCCAAUCUUUCUGAUGACACAAGAUGCUGAAAGGCUGAGCAGAUAAGAGGGACACCUGUUCUGUUCACCCUAAGGAUGGAUCCAGAGAUCUGAGCCUCCCCAAGAUGUAAACUCCUACUUGGCUUUUUCCUUGCCACGUCCUCCUCCAUAUACUGGUGAUUGCACUUUCCUCGUCCAAGGUUGGAUGUUAGAGUAACAAACAGAAAGUUUUAAAAACCUUAACAUUUCUUGGCUAUUAUCUUUGGUGGAGAGAAACACAUCCCUCUGACUGCAGAUCUGACCUCAUUUAAAAAGAACCCUGCUGGGAAAUCUGACUGUUAUCUGGGAGCAUAGUUAAGGAAACAACAUCUUACCAAACUGGUAGCAAGAAAAGAAGUUUUCUAGAGUAGCUAGAAAACUCAGCAAUGAUUGUUAUCAAGGUGAGCAAUGAGCAGGUGGAAAAGGGAGCCAGAAAUCAGAGGAGACAGAGGACAGUGCAAGUAAGGGACAUAUGCCUAACUUUUCUGAUGCCAUCAGGUCCCAGGACCUAAAUGUUCCUGUCCCUACUACAACCAAAAAUCUUAGAGAAAGAAGUAGGGAUGGGAUGAGAUGAUUAGAGAGUCUGAGCUAUUAUUAUACAAAAGAGACUGAGAAUUUUUCGGGUUGAUGGUGCUGAGGAAGAUGAGAUAGAGCAAAUGGAGAAGCCGAGACUUUCUCUGCAUAUCUGAGUAGCAGUGGGAGUAAUACUGCAGCCUCCUACACAUAUAUUAAUAUGUGCAGGGCAGAUUUGCAACAACACAGCACCCUAGUGCUGCCCCAUCUAAUAUAAACUCUGAGCUGAUGUUUACCAUUUGGAAAUUUUAAGUCAAAGAACAUCAGAGGUGAGUCAAUCAUCUGUUGAAAUCACCUCAUUUUUCGAGGUUAAAAAAGCCCUGACUCCCUGAGAGUUUAAGGUCAACUGUUUGGUGGCAGAAACAGGACACAAACCCAGAUAUCAUGAGCUCGUGUCCCCCAUCCCACCAGCUAUUCAUCAUUACCUCCAAGUUCUGGAUCAAAGAAGCCAGUUUUUAAUUUAUCAAUGAGCAACAAAUAUAGAAUAUUUUAAAACUAUAAAUACAUGAAGGAAAAUGAAGCAAUAGGAAUAGACAUUUUCUUAGUCCCCUUCCAGCUCUAACGUUCUGUGAAGAAUAGCACACAGGAGCUUUGCUAUAGCACAACCCCCUCUAGUGCAUAAUUCAGCAUACGAUGAGUCUGAGUCUGUUUUGGACCCCAUCCAAAGGAUUUAGUUCCUAGAAGUACUCGAAAGAUUUUAUUCUCAUUUAUCAUGAAGCAUCCUAAAAGAAGGCUAAAAAUAAUCAUGAUGACAAUAAUAGUAAUCAGUGGUUACAUUUGUAUUGCGUACUAAGCAUCAUGCUAAGCAUGUUAUCAUAGCCCACUGUUUUUCAAAAGGCACAUCCAUGACCUUACGGUGUUGUGAAUCUAGUGGGUCAUGAAUAAUUUUUUAGAUAAAAGAAAAAUAAGAAAAAGGAGAGUACUUUAUAUAUAUUAAGUAUUGUUUUGCAAAACUUAUGCUUUGAUCGUGUGGCUAGUGGUUCAUUAAAAGAAAAAGUUUGAAAGCUACUGUCUCAUCUCCAAUCAGAACAAGUGUCUUGCUAGUUAAGUAUUAUUAGCACUAUUGUAUAAGUGAGGAAACAGGAUCAAAGAAAAUAAGUAAUUUGCCCAAGCUGACAUAGUGAGUGACCAAGCUAGAGUUUUGAACCUAGGUCUGUUAGAUUUGCAAUUGAAUAUUUUCAUUUCCAUAUUAAUGAUAAAUUAUUAACUAAGGUAUGGAAUAAGUUGUUGCUAAUCAUAUUUUCUUUGUGAUUUUUAUUAAAUCCAGCUAGAAUGGAGAACCACGGCAUAGAUUCAAGUGAUGUGUUCUGAAGAUACUGAGGAAUUUUAUAAAACACUAAAACUAACACCUGAGACCUUUUUCUACAGCUUUACCCAUUAUCCAUGCAAGGAGAUGAACCAACCUGGGACUAUUAACAGUCUUUGACCUCCAGAAGCACAAAAGCAAAUCAAGUCAGGCAGAUGUUCUCUGCCUUCCCCUGCGCAAAGACACCAGAGGCCACUGCUUGGCACUCAUGCUUUUGACUUUAUUUCUUCACUCAGAGAGACCUCCUGCAUGGUGAAUCUCAGGCUCUAAGAGAUAUCUACCCUGUACCAAGUGGAGAGACUGAAGAGGAUUUUGAUCUUCUGUCUGGAAUGAAAUAUACUUAACUGGAAUUGAAGAUGCAAGGAA